UCUCUCUCUCUCUCUCUCUAGACUCUUCUUUGGCUUUGCUUUCCCUUUCUCUUGUUUCUUCCUUAACUUUCUGGUUUGGUCUUUUGGGGUUUGUGGGUUGUUGGUGAAGAGGCUUUUUGAAGGGAUUUUGGUACUGUUCUACUUUAUGGCUUCUGAGUUUUUGCAGUUUUCUUUUUUCCUUCAACCUUUGGAAUUCAAUUUUGUGGACUGAGGGAGAUAACCUUGUGAGAGAAGAUUGGAAUUUUUUUUUUCAAAUUUUGUUGCUUUUUAGAGAGAAAAAGAUAAAAAGUGACAGAAGUGGGACUGUGAGAGCAUGUUACGGUUGGCAAUGGAAGAAGAGAGAGAGAGAUUGUUGGCAAGAGAGAGCUAUCACAGGGGAGAU
rnacentral:misc_RNA from 1 species